UAUGUGCCAACAGUCAGCCACGAGGCUUCAUCGUCCUCACAUUUACAGGAAAUUUAUCUUCAUACAUGAAUUUAUGAAAGAUUGUGCUACGGGAUAGGACUAGACCAUUUUUGUUGCAAAGUAAUAAGAUACCUGCUUUGGAGAACACUCAUAAUAUCGAAACACAAAGAUAGACAAUUAGCAAUUUGCGAACUGCAUGUGGUUUAUUCUACACUUGCCUGUUCUGUUAAGAUGGAAGAAUACAACUUCCAUUAUUGGACUUUACUAAGCCUCAUGAGAUGCUUUUGUUUUUAAUAAAGAGCAUAGAGUUGUGAUUAAUAAAUUUAUAUAAUGAAGGAAUAGAUUUAUUGACAUGGUUGUUGAAUGUGCAGCUACUCGAAGAGAAAAGUUGCCCAGUAGGUACAAAUCUGUUGUAGCUUCAUAGAUUGUACUUACGUGUAAAACAUCCAAUUGAUAUUCACGAAUUAAAUUCAUGAUCCGUCUCUUAAUUAAUAAAUAAUUAUACGUAUUAGAGUUAGUAUAUCAUGAAAAAUAAUCAAGAACAUAGCACAUUUCUUCUAUAGGAGAACAAUAAUCAUCAUUGCAUUUUCAAGUGAAUUUACCAAGUCAAUUUAUUACAACUUCAGUCUAUUUCAUUUUCAAUUUACUUUGACGUAAAACUACCUUAUUUUUCACCUAUUACGAAUCAAUCUACCCUAAUUUUAGUCUACAAUACGGAAUCGAAUGGUCGAAGUACCAGAGGACCGGACUUUCUUUCAACAAACAACACUUCUAAAUCUGUUAAAGAAGAUAGUUAUUAAGCGAAGAAGAAAGAGAAGCUACAAACGAAGAAUGUAACAUGCCGGAAGAAUAAAAUAUUGUGAAUCUAUGACAGAUGAAUAUCUAAAAAGUAAAGGGUUUUUUGUAGACCAAAUCUUUUUGUAAUAAUUCGUGCAUCUAAGCUUUUAAAAAUUAUCGGUAUGUUUCUUUCGAAUUUAUUUAUAUUUUAAACUAUGCAUUAAAUUUUGGAAAUCUAAUAUACCUAUGUUACUUAUUAGGUGCUGCCAGAGGUUU